rnacentral:rRNA from 1 species
UCGUAUUAAGAUUAAAGAUUUCGAAUCGGUAAGGGAUGAGUCUGCGUACCAUUAGCUAGUUGGUAGGGUAAUGGCCUACCAAGGCAUCGAUGGUUAACUGGUCUGAGAGGAUGAUCAGCCACACUGGGACUGAGAUACGGCCCAGACUCCUACGGGAGGCAGCAGUGAGGAAUAUUGCACAAUGGGGGCAACCCUGAUGCAGCAACGCCGCGUGUACGAUGAAUCAGUUUAUCUGUGUAAAGUACUGUUAAUUGGGACGAAUUAUAGGGUUUGUAGCCUUAUUUGACUGUACCAGUAGAGGAAGCUCCGGCUAACUCCGUGCCAGCAGCCGCGGUAAUACGGGGGGAGCGAGCGUUGUCCGGAUUUAUUGGGCGUAAAGGGUAUGUAGGUGGAAAAAUCAGUCAGUUGUUAAAUGAUACGGCUUAACCGUGUUUUGCAAUUGAUACUGUUUUUCUUGAGUACGAGAGGGGACGGUGGAAUAUUUAGUGUAGCGGUGGAAUGCGUAGAUAUUAAAUAGAACACCUGAGGCGAAGGCGACUGUCUGGCUCGUAACUGACACUGAAAUACGAAAGUAUGGGUAGCAAACAGGAUUAGAUACCCUGGUAGUCCAUACCCGUAAACGAUGGAUACUAGGUGUCGGAGGUUUAACCCCUUCGGUGCCGUAGCUAACGCGUUAAGUAUCCCGCCUGGGGAGUACGAUCGCAAGGUUGAAACUCAAAGGAAUUGACGGGGGCCCGCACAAGCGGUGGAGCAUGUGGUUUAAUUCGAUGCAACGCGAAGAACCUUACCUGGGCUUGAACUGUAUAUGCUCGCUAUAGAGAUAUAGUUUUUCCUUCACGGGAACAUAUAUAGAGGUGCUGCAUGGCUGUCGUCAGCUCGUGUCGUGAGAUGUUGGGUUAAGUCCCGCAACGAGCGCAACCCUUAUCGCUAAUUACCAUCGAGUAAUGUCGGGGACUUUAGCGAGACUGCCCGGGUUAACCGGGAGGAAGGUGGGGAUGACGUCAAGUCCUCAUGGCCCUUAUGUCCAGGGCUACACACGUGCUACAAUGGUCGGUACAGAGUGUCGCUACAAUGUGAGUUGAUGCUAAUCACUAAACCCGAUCUCAGUUCGGAUUGCAGUCUGCAACUCGACUGCAUGAAGUUGGAAUCGCUAGUAAUCGUGGAUCAGCAUGCCACGGUGAAUACGUUCCCGGGCCUUGU